GGCGACGCAUAUCUCAGUAUUGUGAACUGCUCACUUAGUACAUCAUCUACAGAUCUACUUAGCUUUCUUUCUGAGAUUACAGAGACCGUCUCUCAGGACUGAGUUUAGUGAAGGACAGCUUCUCCAUUUCCCCUUUUUGUGGUGUUUCUCUAUUCCUCUCUUUCUCCGGUGUCUGAGAAAUCCGUGUACUGAGCUGCUUUCGUAACCAAGAAAUGAACUUUGGGAGACUAAAGAAUGUGGUAGCUGCUGCAGCCAUUGAAGGGUUGGCUGAAGCAAGGGCCAGGAUAUUUGGUCAUGUGCUUAAUCCAACCGGGCAGAGAUCAUCCCACAAGGUUUUACGCAAGAAGCUCAUCGGUGAGAAGGUUUCACAAUGGUACCCACAUGAUAUCAUGAAAGAUGAUCCUCUUGUGAUGGCACGUCAAGAGCAAGAGCGCCUGAGCAAGCUUGAAAUGCUUAGACGUCGUGGAAAGGGACCUCCUAAGAAGGGUCAAGGCAAG
rnacentral:misc_RNA from 1 species